GGGAUGCAGUGAUUCCAGUAGGAUGGGCUGGAGAGGUGCCUCCAUGAUCCAAAAGAGCAGAACUGUGAGAAUUCCAGUGAAACCUGGAGUGGGGUUGGUCAGGCCAAAGCAAUAGCCUUUGAAAAUGGAAAGUUGUGAGGGAUUCUCACUCUCUGUAGAAAAACUGAUGAAAUUUUGCUUGUUAAAAUAAUGUGAAUCUAAAUGUAAUGCUCCAAUUUUGCCAGUCAAGCAGGCAAAUGGAAGGCUAUCCCAGUUAGUCCAAGACCUCAGAGCUAUAAAUAAUAGAGUAGAAGAUAUACAAGCAGUUGUAGCGAAUCCUUACACUUUGCUAACUCCCCUAAAUGAAAGUUUAAUGUUUCACAGUAUUAGAUUUGAAAGCUGCCUUUUUCUGUCUCCCUUUGAGUUGUGAAAGUCAAGAGCUUUUUGCUUUCAGAUGGGAAAAUCCAAAGACAGGGAGGAAAACCCAGCUGACUUUGGUGGUCCUCCUGCAGGGGUUUAAAAAUAUCCCCCCAGUAUUUGGAACUCAAUUGGCAAAGGAACUGGAGGAAUGGAAAAGCCAAAACCCUCUUGGAGCCUUAUUCCAGUGUGUGGAUAUUUUGACAGCCACUGAUGCUGAGCAGCAAUGUUGGGAUCAGACACUAUGGAAUUUCCUUGGACUGGGUGGAUAUGGGGUGUCCCAAACACAAAGUGCAAGUAGUCCAGACCCCAGGAGCCUCCCUGGGCUUUGGAAUUCUCCAAGGACAAGGGAGGCUGGGCCAGGAAGGAAAGAAGCAACCUGUCAACUGCCCCAGCCCCAGCAAAGGAAGCCCAGAGCGGGAUUGCUUCCAGACUAGAGGAGAAGUGUAUUCGGGCAGAGCUGACUCAGGAGACAGCCCCUGGGAAAGUCCUGGUUGGGAAUUGUUUCCCAGUGGGGGCAGCUUUGUCCAGCAUGGAAAACAAUUCUCUGGAUGCACAGGAACUCCCCCCAGCAGGUCAUGGAAUUGGGGGCACUCCUCUGCAGUGCCUCAGCCCAGAAAGCAGAACCAAUUGUGCUCACUCCAGCUUGGGGAUUGAGUCAAGGAGAACAAGUUAAUCCUUGGACUUGCUUGAAGAUCUCCAGAAACCAACAGAGGCUGCUGUCCUGCAUUGCAGAGUGCACCAAGAGGGGGAGACCAAAGCAGAACUGGGGAAUCAUUUGGCCCAAAAGGCUGCCAAAGAGGCUGCAGAAAAAGGCACUUUAGAGAGUAAAGUUUUGUCUUUAAUAACCCUGACAGAGAUACCUCUCCCAGUAGAAACAAAUGAGUCUAGUGCUAAGGAUUGUCAGCUCAUUGAAACCUUAGAGCAAAAUUUGCUCCAGGAGGCUGGGCAGUUACCCCAGGUGGGCAAAUAAUAGUCCCUGAACCAGUCUGGUGUGACCUGGUGGAUGGGGAACACGAGGGUAUUCCUUGGAGUGAAGCAAAUCAUUGAAACAUUUGCACAAGUGGGUUAUAAGUCCAAAACUGCCCCCAAUUGUAGAAGCAGUGAGUCAGCAGUGUGGUGUGUGUAAGAGAAAUGAUCCAACCCCUGCCAAUGCAGUGGGAAUAGGGGAUGUAAAGUGUAGAAAUGUUCCAGGUGAAUGUUGGCAGAUGGAUUUGACUGAAUUGCCCAGAAAAGGGGGGUGUAAAGAUCUCCUAGUCUUGGGGGAUACCUUCUCUGGGUGGCCAGAGGCUUUUCCUUGUUGCACUAAGAAGGUUUGGAAAGAGACUGCAAUGCUGUUCAAUGCAAUCCUCCCUGUAUUUGGGAUGCCUUUGGGAAUGUCAUCAGACAGAGGUUCCCACUUGAUUGCAGAAACAAAAUGCUUCACUCUUGUUUUGCUCUUCUGAACACAGUUCAAACACUGUUGACAUGGGAGGAAAAUUUACAUCACUUUUUAGUGCCAAAUGUGAUCCAAGUGUUGUCUAAAAGUGUAUGUAUUAAGUAAGCAAGACUCUGUAAUGAAUCUGUAAACUGUGUGUGUAAUGUAAAGCCCUGUCUGGCUGUCCCUGAAGUGCUGAGGCUGAACAACAGCCCCUGAGCCAAAGCUGAGCUCUAGAUGAACCUUCCAACCUAAUGGGCUGUGUCUCCAUGUAUCUGCUCAUCAGCUAAAACUGGGUCUAUUUGUUGGUAAAAAUGUGGUGUGAUGGGACUCCACCUGUGUAUCUGCUCCUGAGCAAACAGGUGUGCUUAUUAGUCAGAUCUGUUAGUCUGGGCUCAUUAGUGAAUCCUGUUUGUACCUGUUCAUUAACAAAAUAUGUCUGAUUGUGAGCAAAAUGUGAUCUUUAUCUUUCUGUAUCUGGAGAGUGGUCGAGGCCAUGGCAGUCGAUGUCUGGCCUUGUUUGGCAGCAGAUGGGGCAGGGGGAGCCUUGGUUUGGGAGAAGUAGAACAUUGCUCCCAAGAUUCUGCUCUGGCCAAAUAAGGAACAAUAGAAUCUUAGAGAAGUCCUGGAGAAUUGGAUCAGGGCUGGAACUCAAGCAAACAGGGUGUGAGCUGAGCUCUGGGGACCCAGAGAAGAUCAAACCAAACAUGCUGGUCUCUGUGGGGAAAAGCAGUGAUGCUGAGAACCGAGGUCAAGAAGGGGACACCUGACUUUGGGGGGGCACCAGAUGCCAAAAAACCCACCAGAGACCCCCAGAGAAGACCCCAAAUGACCAAAUAGGUACUUGCAAUAGGGAUGUGACUGUGUAAAGCAAAGUAAUGGACAUGUGUUAAGUAAGGGAGAAUAUCCAAUGCCUCUGGAAUCAGUGUGUGUAAUCCCAAGCCCUGCCUGUGUCCCUGAGCAGGCUGGAUUAGAAGAACUCUCCUGCAGGCGUCCAGCACGCUGCCCUAAAGAAUGCCUGCUUCUUAACACCCCAAACUGGGCUGAAGGGCUUGGGUUCUGCUGCUUGUGGGGAUCAUUUCUGGCCCCCAGGUGGGACCCUGUGCCUGAUCUCCCGUGGAUCCGAGGGAUCUCUGGAUCUUCACGCCGGCCCCAGGACAUUCCUGGAGAAGAGCACAGAUCCCCAGCCCAGUCUGGGAUGUGGGGAAGAUCCCAUUGGAUAAUAAGGCAUUCUUUUGGGGAAUCCUGCUCCUGUAAGAUGUGUGGAUCUUCCAGCACUUUGGGUGGGUUAUUUGGUAUUCCACAAUUUGGUGUCUGGCUUUGUUUUAUCCACUGAUCCUUGUUUUGUGUUUGUAUUUGUCUCUGUACUGUAACAUUUGCACAGGUGGGUUAGGGGUGCAAAACUGACCCAGUUGUACAAGCAGUGAGUCAGCAGUGUGGUGUGUGAGAGAAAUGAUCCAACCCUGCCAAUGCAGGGGGAAUAGGUGAUGUACAGUGUGGAAAUGUUCCAGGUGAAUGUUGGCAGAUGGAUUUGACUGAAUUGCCCAGAAAAGGGGGGUGUAAAAUCUCCUAGUCUUGGGGGAUACCUUCUCUGAGUGGCCAGAGGUUUUUCCCUUGUGACACCAACCAGACUAGGGAAGUGAGUGGAAUACUGUUGAAUCCAAGAAUCCCUGGAUUCGAGGUACAUUUGGGAAUGUCAUCAGACAGAGGUUCCCACUUGAUUGUAGAAGUGGUACAAGAAGUCGAAUCAUGGAUGCAUUAUUCCAGAAUUCCAAAGGCCAGAGCUCCUUGGGUAAUUGAGAGGUUGUCUGAGAAGAAACAAAAUGCUUUAGUCUUGUUUUGCUCUCCUGACAAUAGUUAAUUGGGUCUUGACUUGGGAGCAAAAUUUACAUCUCCUUUUAGUAUCAAAUGUGACCCAAGUGUUGCCUCCAAGGGAUUGCUGGGUGUGCACUCAUUUACCUGAAAAGACAAGGAAGCCAUUCACCAUUUCUGCCUCCCCUAUUCUGGCAGAAAUGAUUCCUGGUCACUGGGUGAGCACUUGUGCUCACCAAAAAGUAGACCCAGCAGUUAGUGUGCAAGUACCCCCCCAUCUCUGACAAUCCUGCCUGUGUCCAAAGCUGUGACCCCCACUAAAGGGACAGGAGAACUGGAUUGUGUUAAUGAAAGGGGCACGUUUGUGGGAAAUCACAGCCAAUGUCCUCAAACCCUUCCUGCUGGGGAAAUGACUGAUCCUUGGCCGGUCCCCAAUGGAACGGGGUGGUGUUGGCUGUGUGGAAAUAACACCUGUGAAGGGUUGCCCCAAAGCUGGAAGAGCAUUUGUAUUUUAGCUUGCAUCAUGACUCAGCUUAGUCUGAAGAAAAGGAGGGAUUUGAUGUGGGAUAUAGAACACUGCUCCCAACAUUUCUCUAUGGCCAAGGAAGGAAAACCAUAAUCUUGGAGAGGUCCUAGAGAAUUCGAUUGGGGAUGUAACUAAGCAAACAGGAUGGAAGCUGAGCUCUGUGCACCCAGAGAAGAUCAAACCCAAACGUUACAGUCUUUGUGGUGAAAGGUAAUGACAGUGUGUCUGCUCAGAACCGAGGUCAAGAAGUGGACACCUCAACUUUGGGGGCACCAGAUGCCAAAAAACCCCACCAGAGAGCUCUGAAGAAGACCCCAGAGGACCAACUAAGGACUUGCAAUAGGGGGUGUGACUGUGUAAAGCAAAGUAAGGGAGAAUAUCUAAGGAAUAUAGAAACUGUGUGUGUGGGAUAUAAAGCCCUGUCUGGCUGUCCCUGAAGUGCUGAGGCUGAACAACAGCCCCUGAGCCAAAGCUGAGCUCUAGAUGAACCUUCCAACCUACUGGUCUAUUUAUCCAUGUAUUUGCUCCUUAGCUAAACCUGUGUAUGUUUGUUGGUCAAAGAUGUACUGUGUGCAAAGACUACCCGUGUAUCUGCCCAUGAACAAAAUAAAUGUGCUUAUUAGUGAGA